rnacentral:rRNA from 1 species
UACGUAGGGGGCAAGCGUUGUCCGGAUUUAUUGGGCGUAAAGAGCGUGUAGGCGGCCUGAAAGGUCAGCUGUGAAAACUCGAGGCUCAACCUCGAGACGUCGGUUGAAACCAUCUGGCUAGAGUCCGGAAGAGGAGUGUGGAAUUCCCGGUGUAGCGGUGAAAUGCGCAGAUAUCGGGAAGAACACCGGUGGCGAAGGCGGCGACCUGGUCCUUGACUGACGCUGAGGCGCGAAAGCGUGGGGAGCAAACAGG